rnacentral:rRNA from 1 species
GCAUAUCAAUAAGCGGAGGAAAAGAAACCAACCGGGAUUGCCUCAGUAACGGCGAGUGAAGCGGCAAGAGCUCAAAUUUGAAAGCUGGCUCCUUCGGGGUCCGCAUUGUAAUUUGCAGAGGAUGCUUCGGGUGCAGCCCCCGUCUAAGUGCCCUGGAACGGGCCGUCAGAGAGGGUGAGAAUCCCGUCUGGGGCGGGGUGUCUGCGUCCGUGUGAAGCUCCUUCGACGAGUCGAGUUGUUUGGGAAUGCAGCUCUAAAUGGGUGGUAAAUUUCAUCUAAAGCUAAAUACUGGCCGGAGACCGAUAGCGCACAAGUAGAGUGAUCGAAAGAUGAAAAGCACUUUGAAAAGAGAGUUAAACAGCACGUGAAAUUGUUGAAAGGGAAGCGCUUGCGACCAGACUCGCCCUCGGGGUUCAGCCGGCAUUCGUGCCGGUGUACUUCCCCGGGGGCGGGCCAGCGUCGGUUUGGGCGGCCGGUCAAAGGCCCCCGGAAUGUAGCGCCCUUCGGGGCGCCUUAUAGCCGGGGGUGCAAUGCGGCCAGCCUGGACCGAGGAACGCGCUUCGGCACGGACGCUGGCAUAAUGGUCGCAAACGACCCGUCUUGAAACACGGACCAAGGAGUCUAACAUCUACGCGAGUGUUCGGGUGUCAAACCCGUACGCGCAGUGAAAGCGAACGGAGGUGGGAGCCCCCUCGCGGGGCGCACCAUCGACCGAUCCUGAUGUCUUCGGAUGGAUUUGAGUACGAGCGUAAAUGUGGGGACCCGAAAGAUGGUGAACUAUGCCUGAAUAGGGCGAAGCCAGAGGAAACUCUGGUGGAGGCUCGCAGCGGUUCUGACGUGCAAAUCGAUCGUCAAAUUUGGGUAUAGGGGCGAAAGACUAAUCGAACCAUCUGGUAGCUGGUUCCUGCC